rfam:Myotis brandtii contig218503, whole genome shotgun sequence.
AGGCCUGCAGAAAGAGAGGCAGGGUCUGAUCUGCAGCCUCAGUGGUGGCUGUAGAUCAGCCGUUGCCUCUCUCUUUCUCUCUG